CUACGGGUUGCAGCAGUGAGGAAUUUUGCGCAAUGGGGGGAACCCUGACGCAGCAACGCCGCGUGAGUGAUGAAGGCUUUCGGGUCGUAAAGCUCUGUCAAGUGGGAAGAACCUAUGCAGUGUUAAUAUCACUGUAUACUGACGGUACCACUGAAGGAAGCACCGGCUAACUCCGUGCCAGCAGCCGCGGUAAUACGGGGGGUGCAAGCGUUAUUCGGAAUCAUUGGGCGUAAAGGGCACGUAGGCGGCUUGGUAAGUUAGAUGUGAAAGCCCGGGGCUUAACCCCGGAAGUGCAUUUGGUACUGUCAGGCUUGAGUAUGGGAGAGGGAAGUGGAAUUCCUGGUGUAGAGGUGAAAUUCGUAGAUAUCAGGAGGAACACCGGUGGCGAAGGCGACUUCCUGGACCAAUACUGACGCUGAGGUGCGAAGGCGUGGGUAGCAAACAGGAUUAGAUACCCUAGUAGUC
rnacentral:rRNA from 1 species